rnacentral:tRNA from 1 species
GUCAGGAUAGCUGAGUGGUCUAAGGCACCAGAUGCAAAGUCCUGACUUUCCCUCAGUUGGGUGUUCUGGUCUCUGAAUAGAGUCAUGGGUUCAAAUCCCACUCCUGACA